AAAAAGACAAACCUGGUUUCCGUGUCUAACGUUUGACCAUUUAUCUUAUUUAAAAAAAUUAUAAAAAAUAUUAAAAAGACAAGUUAAGCAUAAAAUAUUAAUUAUGUUUUAUCAUCUAACAAAAUGAAAAUACGAAUUAAAAAAAAUUUCAUAUAAGACGGAUAGUCAAAAUUGGACACGGAAAUUCAGGGUUUGUCUUUUU
rfam:Oryza barthii chromosome 10, whole genome shotgun sequence.